GACGAAGGAUGCAAGCGUUAUCCGGAUUCAUUGGGUUUAAAGGGCGCGUAGGCGGCGCGACAAGUCACUUGUGAAAUCUCCGGGCUUAACUCGGAACGGUCAAGUGAAACUGUCAUGCUAGAGUGCAGAAGGGGCAAUCGGAAUUCUUGGUGUAGCGGUGAAAUGCGUAGAUAUCAAGAGGAACACCGGUGGCGAAGGCGGGUCUCUGGGCAACAACUGACGCUGAGGAGCGAAAGCGUGGGGAGCGAACAGG
rnacentral:rRNA from 1 species